rnacentral:lncRNA from 1 species
GCAGCCCGGGGCCACCACAGCCACAGCAGCCAGAGGCCGUCGCGCGUGUGUGUGUGUGCGCGGGGAAGCCGGAGGCCAGGUGAGAGCACGGGAGGGGCCGGUGCGUGGUGAUGGGGGGACGUGUGUGUGCACAGAGAGAGAGACGCACAAACAUGCGACUCCAUACAACCGCAGCAGCACACGGACAGACACACAGAGAGCGCAGGGAGACACAGAAACACAGAGAGCCCGGGACACGUGCCAGACACGCACAGGGACACACAGGGACACACACACAGACACAUGGACACACACGGACACACACAGAGACACAUAGACACACAGGGACACACACGGAGACACACAGACACACAGGGACACAGACAGAGACACACGGAGAUACACAGAGAGCCCAGGACACGUGCCAGACACGCACAGGGACACACACGGACACACACACAGACACAUGGACACACACGGACACACACAGAGACACAUAGACACACAGGGACACACACGGAGACACACAGACACACAGGGACACACACGGAGACACACAGACACACAGACACACACGGACAGAAACACAUGGAGACACACGGAGACACACGGACACAGACAGACACAGAGACACAGACGCAAAUGGACACACAGAGACACACAGAGAGAAACAACACACACUGACACUCACGGACACAGACAGACACACAGACAGAAACACACUGACAUGGACACCCACAGAUGCACAUGGACACCCGGACACACACACACGGACACACAGACAGAAACACAGACACACAGACACACAUGGACACAGACAGACACAGAGACACACACAUGGACACACGGACACACACACAGACACACAGACACACACACGGACACAGACAGACACAGAAACACACGGACACAGACAGACACACAGACAGACACACACAACACACACGGACACAGAGACAGACACAGACACACACACAGACACACACAGACAGACACACACACAGACACAGACACACAGACACACACACAGAUGCACGGACACACGGACGGACAGACAGACAGACAGACACACACACAGAUGCACGGACACACGGACGGACAGACAGACAGACACACAGACACACACACAGACGCACGGACACACCACACACACAAGCACACACACAUGCACAGACACACACACACACACACACACACAGAUGCACGGACACAUGGACAGACAGACAGACAGACAGACAGACAGAAACACAGACACACACACAGAUGCACGGACACACGGACGGACAGACAGACAGACAGACAGACAGACACACACACAGAUGCACGGACACACGGACGGACAGACAGACAGACAGACACACAGACACACACACAGAUGCACACACAGAUGCACGGACAGACAGACAGACACACACACACAGAUGCACGGACACAUGGACAGACAGACAGACAGACAGACAGACAGAAACACAGACACACACACAGAUGCACGGACACACGGACGGACAGACACACAGACAGACACACAGAUGCACAGACAGACAGACAGACAGACAGAAACAGAGACACACACACAGAUGCACGGACACACGGACAGACAGACACACAGACAGACACACAGAUGCACAGACAGACAGACAGACAGACAGAAACAGAGACACACACACAGAUGCACGGACACACGGACAGACAGACACACAGACAGACACACAGAUGCACAGACAGACAGACAGACAGAGAGACACACACACACACACAGACAGACACACAGACAGACACACAGACGCACAGACAGACAGACAGACAGACACACAGACAGACACACACGCGCACACGCACAG